CCAGCCGCAGCAGCAGCAACUGCCCCCGGCCCCCUGGGCCGCCGCGACCAACCCCUGGACGGGUGUGGUCCAUGCGUACACAAUGCCCGUGCCGCGGGCCCCCGCCCCGGUGCGCAUCAGGCGCUCCUCGCCACCCCGGGUGGCUACCCCGUCGCAGCUCCUCCGUACACCGCGCCCGGUGGCUACGCCGCUCCGGGUGGCUACGCCGCCCCGGGUGGCUACCCCGACGCCCCUCCGGCCGCGGCCGCCGCACUCCCGCCGGCCCCAUGGGAUCCGUCCCUCCUUGCGGCGCUCCACUCCGCCCCUACCCCCAUCACGUACACCGGAGGCGGCGACUGGUAUAUGGAUUCCGGGGCUACCACCCACAUGACUUCCAACCCCGGUAACCUUAACUCCGCAUUUCCAGUUUCUACCGCAUGUCGUAUUACUGUUGGGGACGGGUCUUCCCUUCCCAUUACUCAUGUCGGUCAUGCCUCUUUUCCGUCUAACUCUACACCUAUUCACAUGUCCAAUGUCUUAGUUUCACCUGAGUUAGUCACUAAUCUUGUUUCCGUUCGUUCUCUUACACGUGUAAAUCCUAUAACUGUUGAAUUUGACGAAGUGGGUUUUUCUGUUAAGGACGCUCGUACCCGGAUGAUGCUCCACCGAUGUGACAGCUCGGAUGGCCUCUACCCGGUGAACUCCACCGCCACUUCCACAUCCGCUCUGGUCGCUCUCUCCGCCACGGUGGACCUUUGGCAUGCUCGGCUGGGACAUCCGAACCCGGCCACCCUUCGUCAUAUUCUUAGGACCUUUUCAUUCACGUGUAAUAAAACCGAUGAUCAUACUUGUCAUGCUUGUAGUCUUGGCAAGCACGUCCGUCUUUCGUUUAGCGCGUCCUCAUCGGUGGCGUCGUAUCCAUUUGAGUUGAUUCAUAGUGAUUUGUGGACAUCUCCUGUUGCCAGUAAUACGGGUUUUUUAUACUAUCUUGUCAUACUUGAUGAUUUUUCGCACUAUGUGUGGACCUUCCCGUUGCGGCGAAAAUCCGAUGGACUCUCCGUUCUUACCACUUUUUACUCCUAUGUUGCUACGUAG
rnacentral:rRNA from 1 species